GAUGGUGUCCCUAGCCUCCUUUUGCCAGAAGCUGGGAACUGGGAGACAGGAUGGAUCACUUGAUGAUUCCCUGUUCUGUUCAUUCCCUCUGGGGCACCUGGCAUUGGCCACAAUUGGAAGACAGGAUACUGGGUUAGAUGGAACAUUUGUC